CCUACGGGAGGCAGCAGUGGGGAAUUUUGGACAAUGGGCGCAAGCCUGAUCCAGCAAUGCCGCGUGAGUGAAGAAGGCCUUCGGGUUGUAAAGCUCUUUUGUCAGGGAAGAAACGGCUGAGGCUAAUACCUUCGGCUAAUGACGGUACCUGAAGAAUAAGCACCGGCUAACUACGUGCCAGCAGCCGCGGUAAUACGUAGGGUGCAAGCGUUAAUCGGAAUUACUGGGCGUAAAGCGUGCGCAGGCGGUUUUGUAAGUCUGACGUGAAAUCCCCGGGCUCAACCUGGGAAUUGCGUUGGAGACUGCAAGGCUGGAGUCUGGCAGAGGGGGGUAGAAUUCCACGUGUAGCAGUGAAAUGCGUAGAGAUGUGGAGGAACACCGAUGGCGAAGGCAGCCCCCUGGGUCAAGACUGACGCUCAUGCACGAAAGCGUGGGGAGCAAACAGGAUUAGAUACCCUGGUAGUCCACGCCCUAAACGAUGUCUACUAGUUGUCGGGUCUUAAUUGACUUGGUAACGCAGCUAACGCGUGAAGUAGACCGCCUGGGGAGUACGGUCGCAAGAUUAAAACUCAAAGGAAUUGACGGCUGAGACGNGCGAGACGACGACGAGGGAGGAGG
rnacentral:rRNA from 1 species